CCUGCUGCUUCCUUGCUAUAGCGAAAUCAUUUCCUAUUAUAAAAUGAUUAUUUAAAGUGAUUUAUUGCUUCGGGACACAAGACAAAUGUGUGCGGCUGGAGGAGAGGCUGUGGAUGGCUCAGAUUUCCAUCUGGGUGGGAGGACACAACACGAGCAGUCUCAAAAUAACAAGCCAAUCGGAGAAGGCGGCUCUACCAGGACCAGAUGGGAUUCAACCUUCUUCUCCUUUCUGUUCCUCUCAAGACGCUGUGGACAGUGACUGCUUUCUUCUCUAAACGGCAAGACUGCAGUGUUUGGAAGUCUCUAAAUGGAGGGAGGCUGAUCCAAGGAGACUGCGGUGGUGACCAGGCAUACUCUGCACAAACCGAAGAUGGAGACCACUGCAGAAAACCACAACCAAUCAAAAUGCCCUUCAGAAAAUGUC